rnacentral:rRNA from 1 species
AACGAACGUUGGCGGCAGGCUUAACACAUGCAAGUCGAGCGCCCCGCAAGGGGAGCGGCAGACGGGUGAGUAACGCGUGGGAAUCUACCCAUCUCUACGGAAUAACGCAUGGAAACGUGUGCUAAUACCGUAUACGUCCUUCGGGAGAAAGAUUUAUCGGAGAUGGAUGAGCCCGCGUUGGAUUAGCUAGUUGGUGGGGUAAAGGCCUACCAAGGCGACGAUCCAUAGCUGGUCUGAGAGGAUGAUCAGCCACACUGGGACUGAGACACGGCCCAGACUCCUACGGGAGGCAGCAGUGGGGAAUAUUGGACAAUGGGCGCAAGCCUGAUCCAGCCAUGCCGCGUGAGUGAUUAAGGCCCUAGGGUUGUAAAGCUCUUUCACCGGUGAAGAUAAUGACGGUAACCGGGGAAGAAGCCCCGGCUAACUUCGUGCCAGCCGCCGCAGUAAGAC